rnacentral:rRNA from 1 species
CGGACGGGUGAGUAACGCGUGAGUAACCUGCCUUUCAGAGGGGGAUAACGUUUUGAAAAGAACGCUAAUACCGCAUGACAUAUUGGAGCCGCAUGGCUUUGAUAUCAAAGGAGCAAUCCGCUGAAAGAUGGACUCGCGUCCGAUUAGCCAGUUGGCGGGGUAAAGGCCCACCAAAGCGACGAUCGGUAGCCGGACUGAGAGGUGACGGCCACAUGGGACUGAGACACGGCCCAGACUCCUACGGGAGGCAGCAUG